rnacentral:rRNA from 1 species
AUUGAACGCUGGCGGCAGGCUUAACACAUGCAAGUCGAACGCAUCCUUCGGGGUGAGUGGCAGACGGGUGAGUAACGCGUGGGAACGUGCCCUUCAGUUCGGAAUAACCCAGGGAAACUUGGGCUAAUACCGGAUACGUGCGAGAGCAGAAAGAUUUAUCGCUGAAGGAUCGGCCCGCGUCUGAUUAGCUAGUUGGUGAGGUAAUGGCUCACCAAGGCGACGAUCAGUAGCUGGUCUGAGAGGAUGAUCAGCCACAUUGGGACUGAGACACGGCCCAAACUCCUACGGGAGGCAGCAGUGGGGAAUAUUGGACAAUGGGCGCAAGCCUGAUCCAGCCAUGCCGCGUGAGUGAUGAAGGCCUUAGGGUUGUAAAGCUCUUUCAGUGGGGACGAUAAUGACGGUACCCGCAGAAGAAGCCCCGGCUAACUUCGUGCCAGCCGCCGCAGUAA